CUUUUUUUUUUUUUCUUGUUUGCAGAUUGACUGCCUGCCUUCCCGCUUUUUCAUGAAAGCAAUUUUUCAUUAUAGCUGAAGCCUGCCGCAUACAAGUGAACAAAGAGAGAGAGAGAGAUUUACCUCUGAGAUCUAAAGUCAGCAUUGGGUUUUUGGGGUUUGAUGAAGAGCUUCUUGGAACAUACAAUUAAAAUGUAGGGAUCUGCAUUGGUCUUGGGACUACAAUUUUUUUUUUUUUUUUUUUUUUUACCUUUGGGUUUAGUAGAGAAGAUGGUAUGGGAAAUCGUUUUUAUAAAAGCUUUCUUUUUUUCUUUUCCUUUUACUUUGAAUUCACAUCUUAUGUAGCUGUAGCGAGAGUUAAUGUUAGUUAUAUAUAAUAAUAUAGAGUGGAUGCUAUUUGGUGGACAA